rnacentral:rRNA from 1 species
AUGGCGUCCUCCGGGCUGCUCCUUUUCCUCGGCUGCCUCGCGUCCGCCCUGCUCGCCGGCGCCACCAAAGUGCACCACCACGAGUUCAUCGUCCAAGAGACGCCGGUGAAGAGGCUGUGCGAGGAGCACAACAUCAUCACGGUGAACGGGCAGUUCCCGGGGCCGACGCUGGAGGUCCGGGAGGGGGACACGCUGGUCGUCAACGUCGUCAACCAGGCGCAGUACAACGUCACCAUCCACUGGCACGGCAUCCGGCAGUUCAGGACGGGGUGGGCGGACGGGCCCGAGUUCGUGACGCAGUGCCCCAUCAAGCCCGGCGGCAGCUACAAGUACCGCUUCACCAUCGAGGGCCAGGAGGGCACCCUGUGGUGGCACGCCCACAGCUCCUGGCUCCGGGCCACCGUCUACGGCGCGCUCAUCAUCCGGCCCCGGGAGGACAAGCCCUACCCCUUCGACAAGCCCGCCCGCGAGGUCCCCAUCCUCCUCGGCGAGUGGUGGAACGCCAACCCCGUCGAGGUCAUCCGCGAGGCGCAGAGGACCGGCGGCGCGCCCAACGUCUCCGACGCCUUCACCGUCAACGGCCAGCCCGGCGACCUCUACAACUGCUCCCGCCAAGACACCACGGCGAUCUCGGUGAAGCCCGGGGAGACGGCGCUGCUGCGGUUCAUCAACUCUGCGCUCAACCAUGAGCUCUUCGUCUCCAUCGCCAGCCACAAGAUGACGGUCGUCGGCGUCGACGCGUCCUACACCAAGCCGUUCGUCACCUCCGUGCUCAUGAUCGCGCCGGGCCAGACCACCGACGUGCUCGUCACCAUGGACCAGGCGCCCACGCGGUACUACAUCGCCGCGCGCGGCUACGUCACCACGCAGGGCGUGGCGUUCGACAACACCACCACCACCGCCAUCCUCGAGUACGACUGCGGCUGCACCACCGACUUCGGCCCCUCGAUCCCGCCGGCGUUCCCGACCCUCCCGGCCUUCAACGACACCGGCGCCGCCACGGCCUUCGCCGCGGGCAUCAAGAGCCCGCGAAAGGUCGAGAUACCCAGCCCCGUCGACGAGAACCUCUUCUUCACCGUCGGCCUCGGGCUGUUCAACUGCGAGCCGGGGCAGCUGUGCGCCGGGCCGAACAACAACACCCGCUUCACGGCCAGCAUGAACAACGUCUCGUUCGUCUUCCCCAAGGCCACCUCCCUCCUCCACGCGCACUACUACGACAUGCCGGGCGUGUACACCACCGACUUCCCGGCCAACCCGCCGGUGCAGUUCGACUACACGGCGCAGAACGUCAGCCAAAGCCUGUGGCAGCCGAUCCCGGCGACCAAGCUGUACAAGCUCAGGUUCGGCUCCGUGGUGCAGGUCGUCCUGCAGGACACCAGCAUCGUCACGCCGGAGAACCACCCCAUCCACCUCCACGGCUACGACUUCUACAUCCUCGCCGAGGGCUUCGGCAACUACGACGCCGAGAAGGACGCCGCGAAGUUCAACCUCGAGAACCCACCGCAGAGGAACACCGUGGCGGUGCCGGUGAACGGCUGGGCGGUCAUCCGGUUCCGCGCCGACAACCCGGGGGUGUGGCUCAUGCAUUGCCAUCUCGAUGUGCACAUCACCUGGGGCCUGGCAAUGGCGUUUCUGGUCGAGGACGGGUAUGGCGAGCUACAGUCACUGGAGGCGCCUCCAGUUGAUCUUCCAAUGUGCUAA